ACUUAUUUGGAAUAUUAAGUUAAGAAAAUUAAGGUUUUUUUUUUUUUAGUUUAGAAAAUUUUUAGAAGUCUCUCUUAGAACACUUGUAUUUGGUAAUAGAGUCAACAACAAUAAAUACCUGUAUUUUAUUAAAUCUAAGAUGUCAUCAAUAUCACUGAUGCUAUGCCAUUCAAGAAAACGGAGCCAACUAAAACAUUCAUAAUAUGCAAAAUUUAUGUGAUUUCAGGUGAUCAUGGAGAGUCACUUAUUUGGAAUAUUACGUUGAGAAAAUUAAGCUUUUUUUUUGUUGUUGUUUCCAAAUUUUUUUUUUU
rnacentral:lncRNA from 10 species